rnacentral:rRNA from 1 species
UACUGAGGAUCCGAGCGUUAUCCGGAUUUAUUGGGUUUAAAGGGUGCGCAGGCGGAAGAUUAAGUCGGUGGUGAAAUUUUGCAGCUCAACUGUAAAAGUGCCAUUGAUACUGGUUUUCUUGAGUGUGGAUGAAGUAGGCGGAAUUUGUGGUGUAGCGGUGAAAUGCAUAGAUAUCACGAGGAACUCCGAUUGCGCAGGCAGCUUACUAAACCAUAACUGACGCUCAGGCACGAAGGCGUGGGGAUCAAACAGGAUUAGA